rnacentral:rRNA from 1 species
GGGAUAAACGCUGGCGGCGUGCCUAACACAUGCAAGUCGAACGUCUCUUCUUUCGGGAAGAGGAGUGGCGGACGGGUGAGGAACACGUGGGAACCUGCCCUUUAGUGAGGAAUACCGGCGAGAAAUCGCCGACAAGACCGCAUAGCCCUCUCUGGUGAGAGCCAGAGAAGGAAAGCUUCGCAAGAGGCGCUGGAGGAGGGGCCUGCGUCCGAUUAGCUAGUUGGUGGGGUAAGAGCCUACCAAGGCGUCGAUCGGUAGCUGGUCUGAGAGGACGAUCAGCCACACUGGGAUUGAGAACGGCCCAGACUCCUACGGGGGCAGCAGUGAGGAAUUUUCGGCAAUGGGGGAAACCCUGACCGAGCAACGCCGCGUGCAGGAAGACGGCCUUGGUGUAACUGCUUUCUUUGGGACGAGCAAGGACGGUACCAGAGGAAUCAGCCCCGGCUCACUACGUGCCAGCAGCCGC